rnacentral:lncRNA from 1 species
GCAGGAUGCAGCAGUUAUUUAUUUACAUUUUUCAGCGUCAUAAAUCUCCAUAUAUCUCUAGCUCCAAGGAGAUGUGUACAACUCUCCUACAAGACAGACUCCAACUGGUAGAAAUAGCAGAUUUCUCACAGACAAAUAUCACUAGGUUGAUACGUUUAGUUCACAUACUCAAAUAGACUAAAUAUCACUAGGUUGAUACGUUUCAUUCACAUACUCAAACAGACUAAAUAUCAUUAGGUUGAUACGUUUAGUUCACAUACUCAAACAGACUAAAUAUCACUAGGUUGAUACGUUUAGUUCACAAACUCAAACAGACUAAAUAUCACUAGGUUGAUACGUUUAGUUCACAUACUCAAACAGACUAAAUAUCACUAGGUUGAUACGUUUAGUUCACAUACUCAAACAGACUAAAUAUCAUUAGGUUGAUACGUUUAGUUCACAUACUCAAACAGACUAAAUAUCACUAGGUUGAUACGUUUCAUUCACAUACUCAAACAGACUAAAUAUCACUAGGUUGAUACGUUUAGUUCACAUACUCAAACAGACUAAAUAUCACUAGGUUGAUACGUUUCAUUCACAUACUCAAACAGACUAAAUAUCACUAGGUUGAUACGUUUCAUUUACAUACUCAAACAGACUAAAUAUCACUAGGUUGAUACGUUUAGUUCACAUACUCAAACAGACUAAAUAUCACUAGGUUGAUACGUUUAGUUCACAUACUCAAACAGACUAAAUAUCACUAGGUUGAUACGUUUAGUUCACAUACUCAAACAGACUAAAUAUCACUAG